ACAAGCAGUCUGCUUCUUGCUUGGUGUGACGUCCCUGUUCCCACUCCCUCCUGCCUGUAAAAGGCUUUCAUUUUGUACGGCUCCUCGGAGCUCCGUUCUGUCUGCUGCGAUGGCUGCUGCCGGACUCAUGAAUCAUCGAAGAGAGCCAAUAUCUUUAAAAUGCACUCGGGUGAAUUUUGUUUUUUAACAUGACAACACUUAAAAUCUCCUGGUGGACGAGGGUACAGCUGCGUGGUCGCUCAGUUCUCAGAGCGUCAGCCUCCUCAGUUACCAGCUGGGGCUCUCAAAUCUUCCCUGCUCGCCUCAACGAGUCAAACAGAGUCGUGGGUGUGGAAGAACCUUGAGGAGCCUGAGAGCCCCACACACAGUAAAUUGAUUUCAUGACCUAUCAACGGUCAUGACACACAACUUGGAAAACACUAUGCUAAAAAGGCAGAAAUGAUGCCAGAGGGAGAGAGAAUCAAACGACGCAAAUGGCACAGACGCCGACAUGUUGCAGAUGUCUCCGAGGUGGCUCGGGCACAAGACAGACAGAGCCGGACAGGAAGAACCACUCACCCACAGACGCCGACAUGACACCCCGAGAAGGGCAGAGAUGGAGACAGGUGAGGUCAAGUGGAAAUCGCAGAGGCCCAGGGCCAGGGAGCUGGAGACAGAGAGACGGGAAAUUAAAAAUGAGAUGCCGGGACAGAAACACGCCCGGGCGGGGAAAUGGAGAUUCUGAGACUGAGAUGCAGCGGAGGAGGGCGAUGGGCCUGUGCGAGAGCCACGGACUCGGAGAACGGAGGCCACCUCUGGGCUGGGAUCCCCCGCUGACUAGCUGUGUGGCCUUGGCUGAACCACGUGGCCUCUUGUGGCCUCUGCUUCCUUCUCUGAGAAACGGGACUAUGACCUCCUUCGCAGGAGAAAGUCACGAUGGGUGCUAGGCCUCCCGGUCUCUGAAGGGCUGUCCCCUGAGCCCCUGCCCUUGACCGGAUGGAGAGUCUUAACUGCCACCCACCCAAGGCGUCCCCAGCGUCUGUCCCCCGACAGUCCCCUCCCCUACGCCUCCCAAAGGAGGGAAACCCAUUUCCCUGGGAACAGCUGUGUUUCCUCAACAAACAAAUGUUCUCUUAAAACGU